GCUGGGAUUGUGGCUCAGUGGUAGAGUGCUCAUCUAGCACAUGUGAGGUCCUGGGUUCAAUCCUCAUCACGGCA
rnacentral:tRNA from 1 species